UACGAAGGACCCGAGCGUUAUCCGGAUUUAUUGGGUUUAAAGGGUGCGUAGGCGGAUUAGUAAGUCAGUGGUGAAAGCCCAUCGCUUAACGGUGGAAUUGCCAUUGAUACUGCUAGUCUUGAGUAUGGUUGAGGUGGGCGGAAUGUGUCAUGUAGCGGUGAAAUGCUUAGAUAUGACCCAGAACACCAAUUGCGAAGGCAGCUCGCUAAGCCAUAACUGACGCUGAUGCACGAAAAGCGUGGGGAGCAAACAGG
rnacentral:rRNA from 1 species